rnacentral:lncRNA from 1 species
GGGUCUGGGCUGCUCCUUGCGGGCCUGGGCUUCUCCUUGCGGUUCUGGGCCGCUGCUGGACGGGCCUGGGCGGCUGGGCCGCGUUUUUUGAGCCCAAGCAAGGGCUGUUUUGUUUUUCAGCCUUUUUUUAGGCGUUUUUGGGCUUUUUUUGUCCAUUUUUUAUUUAUUUUAUUUUCUUUUAAAAUAGAAUAGAUGUUGGGUUUCCACGAAUGGGUCACGAAGAAUUUUAAUUCUUUUAUUACUGUUCUUUGCAUGUCGUGGUUGUUAAUCCC